GAUGAAGAACGUAGCGAAAUGCGAUACGUAAUGUGAAUUGCAGAAUUCAGUGAAUCAUCGAGUCUUUGAACGCACAUUGCGCCCCCUGGUAUUCCGGGGGGCAUGCCUGUCCGAGCGUCAUUGCUGCCCUCAAGCACGGCUUGUGUGUUGGGCCUCCGUCCUCCUCCCGGGGACGGGCCCGAAAGGCAGCGGCGGCACCGCGUCCGGUCCUCGAGCGUAUGGGGCUUCGUCACCCGCUCUUGUAGGCCCGGCCGGCGCUUGCCGACACAUCAAUCUUUUUUCCAGGUUGACCUCGGAUCAGGUAGGGAUACCCGCUGAACUUAAGCAUAUCAAUAAGGGAGGA
rnacentral:misc_RNA from 1 species